AAGGCAGGAUGAGCAGUGGAGGGGAGAGCGAUGGGAAAAGAGGCAGCAGGAGAAGAAGGAACACAAGGAGGUGGACAGAGAAAGAGAUCUCAGUUAAUCAGACACGCAGCAGUGAUUCAGAUUUACACAUUUCGGUAGCGGCAUCAAGAAUGCUGUGUUGAUUGCACAAGACUGAAGAAGGACCCUGGACUGCACCAGCAAUCAAGAAUUGAAAUCUUUUGGAUGGACAUGAGGUGUGUGUCCUCCUGGGGAGGGUCUCGGCAACCUGCACCUGUCCCAGAAACAGAGAGCCGAUGGUGGGAGGACAGGAUGAAUAAGACUCCAGUCCCUCUGAGCAGUAAACCCACGAGUCACAGAGAGAACCAGCACCCACCACAUAGAAGGUACCCCAGUACAAAAUCGAACCCAGGACACAGGAGCUAGGAGCCAGCAGAUGUAGCUGCCACAUUGCAGUGGGUCUUUAAUUGAAUAACUGCUGUACCUGCAACUUCAUUGUCCACCUUGUCCUGCACCACCCACUAAAAACCACAAGGUGGAGCAAGAAGAGCUGUUUCUGGCUAGAGCAUGUAUUGUACUUGGUGAUCCCUGGAGCAACUCCUGGACUGAUUGGUGUGAUUAGCAAAGAAAGUACAACACAGCAACUACUGUAUCUCCACAGCCGGUGUUGACAUCCGGUCCCCACCAAAAGGGCUGAAGACAUGCUGGUACGGCUAAUUGACUUCUGUAAACGGGCCCUGGUGUGAGUGUUUCUGUCCUGCGAUUGACUGGCUUGUUGUCCCACGUUCCAGUCCAGCGUUUGCACGACUGAGUGAGUGGGAUGGCAACUUCCAUCGUCUUCUCUGGAGGGACUUGGAUCUUACGGUAAAUGUCAGGUGCUCAGUCCUGCCGGUUAUAGGUCUGUUCACUCCCCAGUGCCCCGCUGAACCCCACUCGCGCUGGGAUUCCUGCCCUUUACUUGCAUGUUGAAGGUGAGCUGCUUGCUUUUAUCGGCGGACCACGGUCAGGUCUUUGUUAAGGGCAGAUCUCGCCUUGUGCCCAGCGCUUCCUGGCCCGGGACAGGCUCUGGGUCAGCCUGGGUCAACCAUAAUCGGAUAAGCGGUUAUUGAAAGUAAUUCCAGUGGGGAGCUGCGU